CACAAAGGAGCAAGUUACCGUGUCUAGUUCAGCUUCCAAACUGCAGUUUUUAAUCUGUGGCAAUAAUUCUGCAUACUGGUUUGGACCUGUUGUCAUGUCACUGUGCAUACCUGAAAAUGAUUGACAUCAUGAAAAAAGAAAAGGAUUUCUGCUUGUUCAGUCUUUUAACCAGUAUUUUCUACCACCAGACUGAAGGUGGCAUGUCAGGAAUGACCUGUGAGUACAGAUCAGAGCACCUGCACCUCUAUCUGCUUCAACUGAGCCUGCAAUCUUAUACUCAGAUUUGUGCCCACAACUGAAAGGGUAAAGCAGGGUCAAGGUAACCCUGCUAGGACAUCAGCUGCUGAGACUGUGCCAGCUUCUUCAGUCCUGCCUGACUAUGCCAGUCCUGAGUUACAUGUGAGAACAGUUGCUGCAAAGACAAGCUAUACAACACUGAGUACCACUGAAAAUAUUUUAUGCAAGUAGAGCUAGGGACUUAACACCUCAACUAGAAGAAGUGUGUGGUGUUUAUCAGAAGAGUAACGAAUUUCCAAAGAGAAAAGGUAGUAGAUGUGCAACUGGGAUUCUCAUUUGGGAGAAGUUCAGAAAUACCAAUUCAUGUGUUAGCUUUAACUUCCAGCCCGGUGUUCCCACCUCAACAUAACAUACACAUUGUGUACUGACCCAUGGAUUUUUGAAUAACCAGGCUAAUGCCAGCUCAGGUGCCGUUGUAUUAAAGGUUCCAUUUGGUUUGGAAUGCAGCAAUCUCCAACCCAGCAACAUCAGCCAACAAGAGCACGUUACCCUAAAGUUUCAUGGUCUGUAUUAGGUCCCUGUUAAAUACUGAAUCAAAUUCAUUAUUUUGGCCCUGCUAUUCAAAAUUCUCCAAGUUUUGCCCAGGUUAUCUGAAGAGUCUCUGUCCAUGACCAAUUGACUUCAAUGGUACUUAAGCACACGCUUAACCUCUUUGUCAAACUUGGGUCUCAGACAGCGUAGGGAUAUCAAUAAUCAUCAACUCUAGUUGUCUGAGUCAAUAGCCCUGAUUUAUCAAAGAGUAAACGUUGGCAUGAAUUUUAUUUGAGACCUCUUACUUUCCCUCUCCGAGCCUAACACUCCUAACCUGUCACUGGGUUUUAGCAUCCCAUUGUGAAACAGAGCAUUUAUCCACACUAGUAGUUCCACUGAUUUCAAUGGGACUACUCAAAGGAGUAAGGGUUCCAAGAACUGGGCCCUAAAUAAACAGCCCAUAGAUCUUUGGGGAUAUCAACACACUAAACCAAUGGCUCUAAGUUGGACAUGGAUGCUUUUGUUAUUUCCUUGAAAGUAUAAAUAAGGCCAAAUUAAGCUUUGAGAACAGCAUCUGGCUCUAAAUAUGUGUUUCUCCCGGUAUAUAACAUGCUAUACCUCAGUGUCAGCAUUCUUCUUCUAUAAGAAGGGUUUAGAAGAAUUCAGUCUGAAAUAACAUUUAAGUUUUAGUUGGUUAAUACAAACUGAAGUAUAUAAUAAUGUCCUGAGCAUGACCUCUACACCCCAAGUACAUCAUUGUACUGUACUCCAACUAAUGAAGUCAAUCAGUUGUACCACCUUAGAACAUAGACUCUUGGUCAAAUUCUGUCCUAAAUUACAGCUACAACCCCCGGCCCAAAGUUAGUGUUCCUGGGACACAAUUUGCCCAAGGGACUUUAUGGUUUAACUAAAGGGUAAAUGAAUUGUAUGAAAAUGAUGCAAGAACGACAGUGGUAUUUUUAGGCAGGAUUUGAGCAAAACGUCUAGCUACAAGAACACACACCAAAAGGAAAUUUCUUCAUCAUUUCUACAUAAAGAUUUUAUCCCCUACAAAGAAAGGGUUAGAGUUGCUAUUUUAAAUAAAGAGCAAUGCUGCCCUCAAACUGAUAUUGUGCAAAAUAAUGAAAAGAUGAGGCUAACAAUAAAUGGAUUUAACUAGUCAUGCUAACAUCUAAACACUAUAAAGCAACAGCUUCUAUUAGUUUAACUUAAUACUGCAUGUACAAUCUCACUAUACCAUUACCAAUGUACUACUAUUGUACCAGGGUAGUAGUAUGCCGCUACAGAACAUAGGGCCUAGUCUGUGGGCUAGGCCCCUUAAUCAAUGAGGACUUCUACUUCAAAAUAAAAAGAUAAAGGAAUCAUACAGUCAAAAGCAAUUUAAAGCAUAACUUUCUUCCUUGAGAGGGACAUCACUACAAAAAAC